CAUUCUUCGCUUUGUCGAUGCGACUAAUUUUGGUUUCUGUUCUUAUAAGUUUGAUGUUUGAUACGUGAGUCAAUGGCUCGCAUGAUAUUAAAUUAAUUUCUUAUGGUGAGGCUCUGUGACGGUAACUUGCCAUUGGGGUCCUUAAGCGUGUGCGUGUUGCACUACCGCACGGGCCUGGCUUUGCCACUA